GUAGGUGGCAAGCGUUGUCCGGAAUUAUUGGGCGUAAAGCGCGCGCAGGUGGUUCUUUAAGUCUGAUGUGAAAGCCCCCGGGCUCAACCGGGGAGGGUCAUUGGAAACUGGGGAACUUGAGUGCAGGAGAGGAAAGUGGAAUUCCACGUGUAGCGGUGAAAUGCGUAGAUAUGUGGAGGAACACCAGUGGCGAAGGCGACUUUCUGGCCUGUAACUGACACUGAGGCGCGAAAGCGUGGGGAGCAAACAGGAUUAGAUACCCUGGUAGUCCACGCCGUAAACGAUGAGUGCUAAGUGUUGGGGGGUUUCCGCCCCUCAGUGCUGCAGCUAACGCAUUAUGCACUCCGCCUGGGGAGUACGGUCGCAAGACUG
rnacentral:rRNA from 1 species